UACGUAGGAGGCAAGCGUUGUCCGGAAUCACUGGGCGUAAAGAGCGUGUAGGCGGUCUGCCAAGUCUGUUGUGAAAGCGCCCUGGCUUAACUGGGCGAGGUCGACGGAAACUGGCAAACUGGACGGCCGGUAGAGGAGGGUGGAAUUCCCGGUGUAGUGGUGAAAUGCGUAGAGAGUCGGAGGAACACCAGUGGCGAAGGCGGCCCUCUGGGCCGGGCCUGACGCUGAGACGCGAGGGCGUGGGGAGCGA
rnacentral:rRNA from 1 species